AGUGAACGCUGGCGGUAGGCCUAACACAUGCAAGUCGAACGGCAGCACAGGAGAGCUUGCUCUCUGGGUGGCGAGUGGCGGACGGGUGAGGAAUACAUCGGAAUCUACCUUUUCGUGGGGGAUAACGUAGGGAAACUUACGCUAAUACCGCAUACGACCUUCGGGUGAAAGCAGGGGACCUUCGGGCCUUGCGCGGAUAGAUGAGCCGAUGUCGGAUUAGCUAGUUGGCGGGGUAAAGGCCCACCAAGGCGACGAUCCGUAGCUGGUCGGAGAGGAUGAUCAGCCACACUGGAACUGAGACACGGUCCAGACUCCUACGGGAGGCAGCAGUGGGGAAUAUUGGACAAUGGGCGCAAGCCUGAUCCAGCCAUACCGCGUGGGUGAGGAAGGCCUUCGGGUUGUAAAGCCCUUUUGUUGGGAAAGAAAAGCAGCCAGUUAAUACCUGGUUGUUCUGACGGUACCCAAAGAAUAAGCACCGGCUAACUUCGUGCCAGCCGCCGCGGUAAGAC
rnacentral:rRNA from 1 species